rnacentral:rRNA from 1 species
AAGUCGAACGAAGUAGCAAUACUUAGUGGCAGACGGGUGAGUAACAUGUAGGUAUCUACCCUUUGGCCUGGAAUAACACGAGGAAACUUGUGCUAAUACCGGAUAAGUCUUUACGGAGAAAGCUUUAUGCACCAUUGGAUGAGCCUGCACUUGAUUAGUUUGUUGGUAGGGUAAUGGCCUACCAAGACUGUGAUCAAUAGCUGAUUUGAGAGGAUGAUCAGCCACAUUGGGACUGAGACACGGCCCAAACUCCUACGGGAGGCAGCAGUGGGGAAUCUUGCACAAUGGAGGAAACUCUGAUGCAGCGAUGCCGCGUGAGUGAAGAAGGCCCUUGGGUUGUAAAGCUCUUUCGUCGGGGAAGAAAAUGACUGUACCCGAAUAAGAAGGUCCGGCUAACUUCGUGCCAGCAGCCGCGGUAAUACGAAGGGACCUAGCGUAGUUCGGAAUUACUGGGCUUAAAGAGUUCGUAGGUGGUUGAAAAAGUUGGUGGUGAAAUCCCAGAGCUUAACUCUGGAACUGCCAUCAAAACUUUUCAGCUAGAGUUUGAUAGAGGAAAGCAGAAUUUCUAGUGUAGAGGUGAAAUUCGUAGAUAUUAGAAAGAAUACCAAUUGCGAAGGCAGCUUUCUGGAUCAUUACUGACGCUGAGGAACGAAAGCAUAGGUAGCGAAGAGGAUUAGAUACCCUCGUAGUCCAUGCCGUAAACGAUGUGUGUUAGACGUUGGAAAUUUAUUUUCAGUGUCGCAGCGAAAGCGAUAAACACACCGCCUGGGGAGUACGACCGCAAGGUUAAAACUCAAAUGAAUUGACGGGGACCCGCACAAGUAGUGGAGCAUGUGGUUUAAUUCGAAGAUACGCGCAGAACCUUACCAACACUUGACAUGUUCGUCGCGACUUUAAGAGAUUAAAGUUUUCGGUUCGGCC